AUUGAACGCUGGCGGCAGGCCUAACACAUGCAAGUCGAGCGAGCGGCGGACGGGUGAGGAAUGUAUCGGGGUCUGCCCGCGAGGGAGGGGUAACACCAGGAAAAGGUAGCUAAUACCGCGCAUUACCGGAGGAACCCAUAUGGGAUUAGCUAGUGGGUGAGGUAAUGGCUCACCAAGGCGACGAUCCCUAGCUGGUCUGAGAGGAUGACCAGCCACACUGGGACUGAGACACGGCCCAGACUCCUACGGGAGGCAGCAGUGGGGAAUAUUGCACAAUGGGCGCAAGCCUGAUGCAGCCAUGCCGCGUGUAUGAAGAAGGCCCUAGGGUUGUAAAGUACUUUCAGUCGGGAGGCGUUACCGGCAGAAGAAGCACCGGCUAACUCCGUGCCAGCAGCCGCGGUAAUAC
rnacentral:rRNA from 1 species